UACAGAGGUCUCAAGCGUUGUUCGGAUUCAUUGGGCGUAAAGGGUGCGUAGGCGGUGGUGCAAGUCAGGUGUGAAAUCCCGGAGCUCAACUCCGGAACUGCACUUGAUACUGCUUCACUAGAGUACUGGAGAGGAGACUGGAAUUUACGGUGUAGCAGUGAAAUGCGUAGAUAUCGUAAGGAAGACCAGUGGCGGAGGCGAGUCUCUGGACAGUUACUGACGCUGAGGCACGAAGGCCAGGGGAGCAAACGGG
rnacentral:rRNA from 1 species